UUGGAGGGCAAGUCUGGUGCCAGCAGCCGCGGUAAUUCCAGCUCCAAUAGCGUAUAUUAAAGUUGUUGCAGUUAAAAAGCUCGUAGUUGAAUCUCGGGAUUAGUACGUUGGUCGUGCCUUAGGUACGUACUGGUGUUACUGGUUCCUACCUUCUGACGAACCACCAUGUCAUUAAUUUGGUGUGGUGGGGAAUCAGGACUGUUACUUUGAAAAAAUUAGAGUGUUUAAAGCAGGCUCGCGCUUGAAUACAUUAGCAUGGAAUAAUGAAAUAGGACGUUGAUCCUAUUUUGUUGGUUUCUAGGAUUGACGUAAUGGUUAAUAGGGAUAGUUGGGGGCAUUAGUAUUCAAUUGUCAGAGGUGAAAUUCUUGGAUUUAUUGAAGACUAACUACUGCGAAAGCAUUUGCCAAGGAUGUUUUCAUUAAUCAAGAACGAAAGUUAGGGGAUCGAAGACGAUCAGAUACCGUCGUAGUCUUAACCAUAAACUAUGCCGACUAGGGAUCGGAUGAUGUUAAUUUUUUAAUGACUCAUUCGGCGCCUUACGGGAAAC
rnacentral:rRNA from 1 species